rnacentral:rRNA from 1 species
UACGUAGGCAGGGAGCGUUGUUCGGAAUUACUGGGCGUAAAGAGUGUGUAGGCGGGGCUCUAAGUUCGGUGUGAAAUCUCCUGGCUUAACUGGGAGGGUGCGCCGGAAACUGGGGUGCUCGAGCGUGGGAGAGGAAAGCGGAAUUCCUGGUGUAGCGGUGAAAUGCGUAGAUAUCAGGAGGAACACCUGUGGUGUAGACAGCUUUCUGGACCAUUGCUGACGCUGAGACACUAAAGCGUGGGUAGCAAACAGG